UCGGAUAUGGUGUAACGGCUAACAUUGCCGCCUCUCAUAUAUGGUCGAAACGCGGCAGCUCGGGGUUCGAUUCCCCGUAUCCGAG
rnacentral:tRNA from 1 species